AGAGGUGGCAAGCGUUAUCCGGAUUUACUGGGUGUAAAGGGCUGGUAGGCGGUGAUGCAAGUCCCGCGUGAAAUGCUGAGGCUCAACCUCAGCGCUGCGCUGGAAACUGCGUCACUCGAGUGUGGGAGAGGAAGGCGGAAUUUCCAGUGUAGCGGUGAAAUGCGUAGAUACUGGAAGGAACACCAGCGGCGAAGGCGGCCUUCUGGACCAACACUGACGCUGAGCAGCGAAAGCUAGGGGAGCAAACGGGAUUAGAUACCCCGGUAGUCCUAGCCGUAAACGAUGGGCACUAGGCGUGGGAGGCAUCGACCCCUUCCGUGCCGCAGCUAACGCGUUAAGUGCCCCACCUGGGGACUACGGCCGCAAGGUUG
rnacentral:rRNA from 1 species